GUGCCAGCCGCCGCGGUAAUACAGAGGUCCCAAGCGUUGUUCGGAUUCACUGGGCGUAAAGGGUGCGUAGGUGGUCGGGUAAGUCUGAUGUGAAAUCUCCGAGCUUAACUCGGAAAUGGCAUUGGAUACUAUUUGACUGGAGGGUUGGAGGGGGGACUGGAAUUCUCGGUGUAGCAGUGAAAUGCGUAGAUAUCGAGAGGAACACCAGUGGCGAAGGCGAGUCCCUGGACAACUCCUGACACUGAGGCACGAAAGCUAGGGGAGCAAACAGGAUUAGAUACCCUGGUAGUCC
rnacentral:rRNA from 1 species